rnacentral:rRNA from 1 species
AUUGAACGCUGGCGGCAGGCCUAACACAUGUAAGUCGAACGGUAGCACAGAGAGCUUGCUCUCGGGUGACGAGUGGCGGACGGGUGAGUAACGUCUGGAAAACUGCCUGAUGGAGGGGGAUAACUACUGGAAACGGUAGCUAAUACCGCAUAACGUCGCAAGACCAAAGUGGGGGACCUUCGGGCCUCACACCAUCGGAUGUGCCCAGAUGGGAUUAGCUAGUAGGUGGGGUAAUGGCUCACCUAGGCGACGAUCCCUAGCUGGUCUGAGAGGACGACCAGCCACACUGGAACUGAGACACGGUCCAGACUCCUACGGGAGGCAGCAGUGGGGAAUAUUGCACAAUGGGCGCAAGCCUGAUGCAGCCAUGCCGCGUGUAUGAAGAAGGCCUUCGGGUUGUAAAGUACUUUCAGCGGGGAGGAAGGCGGUGAAGUUAAUAACUUCACCGAUUGACGUUACCCGCAGAAGAAGCACCGGCUAACUCCGUGCCAGCAGCCGCCGUAA